rnacentral:rRNA from 1 species
UACGUAGGGAGCAAGCGUUGUCCGGAAUCAUUGGGCGUAAAGCGCGUGUAGGCGGUCCGGUAAGUCAGCUGUGAAAGUCAAGGGCUCAACCCUUGAAUGCCGGUUGAUACUGUCGGGCUAGAGUCCGGAAGAGGCGAGUGGAAUUCCCGGUGUAGCGGUGAAAUGCGCAGAUAUCGGGAGGAACACCAAUGGCGAAGGCAGCUCGCUGGGACGGUACUGACGCUGAGACGCGAAAGCGUGGGGAGCAAACAGG